CCCACGUAGGUUGCAUGGCAGCCGCGGCGCGAGCGAAUAGAACUCCAUGGAUGUGUUGGAAUUAAGCGCCGGGAGCAUUUGGUGAUGUUUGGGGGAGGAAGGCACAAGCCACCAAGGCCCUAUUCCCUCCAUCUUGAGCCUUCCAUGGUGAUAUGCAGCAGCACAGGAAAGUAUGAAGCACUGAGGCACAGAAGUCAGUAUUUAAACUUAACUUUGCUUCAACGUAAAUGACCAUGCAAGUUUCAGAUUAACUAAAGGAGGACCAGGGGUAGAAUAGCAGAAGUACGUAAGGUGCCUCUUUUAAAAGUUCUGUUUUGCAUAUCUAAAGAUUAGGGAGAUGUUUAGAAAAGUGAUUAUACACAUGUGCUUAUGUUUACUGUCCUAACAGGAGAUGAUGAUCCGCAUUAUCUUAAAUGCUAGAUAUGUCUUGGAUGCAUCUGUGUCACCUCAUUGAUUUCAGGGGAACUGUAUUGAUUUAAGUUAGUGAAGGCACUAACCCAGCUAAGUUUUAAAUAAUUAGAAUAGUAUUCUCCCUCUUUUUCAGUCAGAUUUGCCCUUCAUGUUACUUGUGUUUCAUAAUCCUCCUAGCUCUCCAUUUUGUCAUUACAAGACCAGCAUCUCUGCUGUAGGGGAAAAAAAAAAAAAGAGAGAGAGAGGACACCCCCCCACCUCCCUCCCAAAGAUAGUCUUUUAACAAUCUGCUCUUUAUAUUAAUGUUUAAAUAAAUUUAGGACACCAAUGAACCGGUUUUUUUAAUAGGCCCAUUUAGUUUCAGUUUCUUACACAGUUAUUUUUUAGAGCCAGAAGCUCUCAGGAAGAGAAUGUGUUCGAUGCACCAGAACCCUUUAGGGUUUUGAUAAAAGACAUGAUAUCAUGAGUACCAUCUCCACUUCUGUUAUUUUUCUUAUAUAGUAGCAACAAGAUUGAAUCACCAUUUUUAGCUAUUCUUCGGCAGAACUCAUAAUCUAUCAAUGUGUCAGCUCAACAGCAGUUUUCUCUUCGCACUAAUGUGAACCAGAAGGUCCAGCUAUCACUGAUUUUGACAAUUUUAUUUUAUCUGAGAUCGCAUGUAUUGCAGAAGUUUGAAGCGAAUGAAUUAUAGGGCCUAUUAUAUUUUCCUAAAGAUGUGCAGAACGUAAAAUAUGUCAUCUAAAACAUUUCAAACUAAUUUGUAUCAGAUAACAUUCCUAUGUUAGGUGCUUCAUAAGCCUUACGCUAUAAGCACUAUUAAAUAUUUGUGUGAUAAAUAACAAGUAUAAGAUCAAAUGUGGGUUCCGUAUUUUUUUUAAUGCCUCAGAGUGCCCUCUGUGUUGUUACAUAAUGCAUCAUAAAGAAAUACGUGCCUUCAUUCUCUUAAAAUCACUCCGGCAUGGAUAGUACUAAGCUUUCCUUCCAGUCCUCGUUAUGCAAGUCCUCGCUACUGCUAAUAGCUGUCAGCUCUGCAUGGUUACUUAAAAAACAAGGUAACUGCAGACUUUUUGUGAAGCUCCUUGCAUUUCUGGAAUUUACAGUGAGUUGAUUCCAGGUGCGUUGCUCCUUUUCCCAGCUUUAAAAUAAAUUAUUACGAACAAGCAGAUUUUCCCCCAUCAGAAGAAAGUCCCACUCAUUCCAGUAUAUCACACGGUAGUCUGUUUUUUUGUUUAGGUGCGUCUAUAAGCAUUUUAUAUUAUGAGUAUCUGAAUGCACUUCAGUGUCAAAACACAGUGGAAUAGACCAGAAUGCAGUAAUAUUUUGAAAGUCUGUUGGAAAAUGCAGGCAUAUAACUAAGUACUGAAAGAAUACGUAGCACAGUAAAAAAUCCAUGACCAAUCUAGCAAAGCUAUUAGGUAACAAAAAAAAAUCCAUAUAGGCAUUAAGUACUAUUAUUUAAAGUAAAAUCUCUGUUAUAAGCAGCAUUCAAGUGAAAUUGAUGAGACAUCUAUAUAGAACAGAAAGAAUUCUUUUUGUACAGCCAUGAUGCAACCUUCUGUAUUUCUUUACUUAGGAAACAGAAUUUUACUUGUCUUUUUGUAAAACUGUAAAAUUAACAGCAAGCUCUUCAGAGAAUUAGGAACACUGCCUGACUUGUGAGAUUUUUUUUUUCCUCUGUGAAACACAGAGAUCAUUGGUGGCAAAAAAUCAGGAGAAACCUGUCUGGAUUUUCCAGUGUCAUGUAGAUCUUUUUGAGUGCCCUGUCCUUUAAGAAGGCCUCGGUUUUAAAGGUAUUGACAUGGAAAUAUGUCAAAAUUUGUCAUCUUGACUAUAUACAGAAAAAUCUUGCUCUCCAUUAUACCAGUAGAAGUAUACAAGUAGUAACUCAGUGAUGUGUCACCAGGAAAGGAGGGUUGGUUUCAUAUUCCAUUGAUAGAUUUAUUAGUUUAACAAUCCUCUAUUGCAUUUCUAAAUUUUUUUAAUCUUUUUGUUGCUCUCGUAAAUUUGAGGCACUAGCUUAUUUGUUUAUUUCCAUUUUCUUACUUGUAAUAAUUUUGAAAGGUUCAACUAUAUUCUGUUCGGAUUUUAUGACACAUGGAAGAUAUUUUUUUUAAAUUCCUUUUGCAAGCAGUGGGUUGGUGGGAGGAGGUCUACACUGUAACACAGUAUACCUAUGAAAUUGUUCUCGAGAUAAAAUAAGAAAGAGCAGAAUUACAGAAACAAGUAAUUUGUCGCUGAUAUUCAUGCAGUGCUGGUAUUUUAUUUCAAGCUGGAUUCGUCAAACACGAUAAGGAGUAAUUUCUGUCUGAUAUGAAGUUCCCAUCUAAGGAGACUAAGUGGUUUAAGUUUAAACUGUGGUUUGAAAAUACAGGGAAAUGUUACUGGACAUUUGAGAGUUUGAUUAGGUAGCCAAAGAGGACGCAAGGAAGUAAAUUGGAGAAUGCUUUUUUUUGUAGUGUUUGAAAUAUGUCAGGAAAACACAUCACUAAUACAUUUCUGUGGAGCAGUUACUUUACCUGCAAGAUGGUUUUGCCUAUGAAGCACAAAGAUUUUACCACAAGCGUCUGAAUUAUGUAGGUUAUAAAGGGUUCUGAUGCUGUCGGAAAGCAAGCAUGAAAUGUUGAUGUGUGACCCUCAGAUAUUUGAGCGACAUUUACUGACCGCUUUUGCAGUAUUUUGUAGGUUCGUAACAUAGUUUUAGUAAUAAAAAUUUAGUGAAAAUGUAUGAGGUGAGCACUGGUGUAAUACUGAUUAGAGGUUUUUUAGAUGGGCCAGUUACCAUAUUUAGUAAAGUAGAAUAAAAAUGAGAUGGCCUGGGACUAAGAUUACUUUAAAAGGGAGAUUUUUUAAAAAAUUAGUAUUGGACUUAUUCUUAGUUAGUAUUAAUUGCUAUUUUUUUAAUACAGUUUUCUCUUUUGUUAAGUUCCAUCAUUUUUUGUUCCGAAAUACCGUCCCGGCACCGAAAGGGGGAAAUAUAAUGGCUACAAUUAGCUUCUGUUUACUGGAGCAAAAUGAUUUUUUCCCAAACCUAAAUACAUGCAUUAAUUUGCUAGACUUCCAGCUAUUUUUACGUGUGGUAUUUCUGAGAAACAGAUACCGAUGUCCAUUUUAAUGCAGCUUACUAUAGUGUAGCAGCCGAAAUCGAGCGUUUUUUCUCUUUGGUAGUCAGAUAUACAGAAUUGUUGGACUGUUUACUUGUAAGUACCUUAAAGCUGAAUCGGAAAAAACAUAUUUUUGAUACAAAAAGUUAGGCUUUCCAGUCUUUACUUACUUUUGAGUUUUCUAGGUAAAUGCUGCAUAGACUGAUUAUCAGAAAAAUCGAGGCUUACAUAAUCAAGCCAUUCAUUUUUCUGCUGCCUCCCUUCCCCCACUUAGCUUUCAUUUUACUAAGAAAAAUGAAAAAUUUUGAGAAGAAACUUACUAUGACAUACUGAUUAUAUACACAUUUUCAUGAGACUGCAUAGCUAAGCUAUUUGUAUGUAUUUAGUAAAAGAAAGCAGCAGGCGAAGUAUUAAAACCUUGAGCUGGCUAAACUUUAAAAUUAUAGUAAAUAAAUACAGCAUUAUCUAAUAUGCUGUACCUAACUGUGUAGCAAUGAGUCUUUUUUCUUUGCAUGGGGAAUUAGAGUACUUCUAUGUUGUCUUUAUUCAGAAUAAGAAAAAUAAGAACGUCGUACCCCAUUUUUUUUAUUCGUUGUAAAGCUGAUGUUCUUUCCUAAGGGAGUUGGUUCAAUACCCAACUUUCAGAGGAUGAGUAGUGAUUGUUAUUGACAAAAUAUAUAUCAAAUGAAUCAAAACUCUGUCCUGCUAGAUAAUUACAAAUUGAAUUAACUAAAAGGAAUAAUAUUAAAUUUUUAUCUAAAUAUGUUAACAUGAGCUCUUACCCAUAGGUGGCAGUCAUCUUUCACAGUAGCAGGGAUGCCAAACUUUUGGUUCGUGGUAUUCAUACUUAUGCUGAAAUAAUUUUGAUGAGGCUGGGAACACAAUUUCUCCUAUCCCAGCUGGAUAGCUGCUGGUUUUUUAUCUCCUGCUGCUGCCUCCUCCAGUUCUGUAUUAAUAGACAAGACAGAACAUCAACCCACAGCAAAGCAAAUGAAUAGAGAAGUCGUGGACAAAAAGGAGUAGUGGACACUGACAUUGGACAGCAUCUUGGGAUAGCAUUGAGUGUACAUCCAAAAAAAAAAGUGAGGAAGCCAUUGAAUCAAUAAAUGUCAUUACAAUUUUUGUCCUUUAGGUUUCUGAUAAAAACUUUCUGUGCCUGUGACACAGAAAGAGUCAUUCUAGGUCACUCUCAGUCACAGGUGAGAUAGUUGUAGCUUCUGAAAACCCACAGGAGCCGUGCUAAAAGAAACAAACUUGGAAGACUCAUCUAUGGCUUAACAACACAAAGUAUUUUCACUUAUGCAGGUUCAUGGAUUCUAGAAUAAAUAAGACUUACAUUCUUCUUGACUACUCUGGGGACUAUAUGUAUGGUAUGGCAUGUUCCCUGAGUUACUGCAAAAGAAAGAGUCCAGCUCUAUACUGGAGAGCCCAUCUCGACCUGUACUGCCAUACUUCUCCUAUUUUUGUAUUCUUAAAUGAUCCAUCAAUUGAUAAUUUCAAGUGAGAAUUUUGCAUUACAGAGAUUUCUUUGUAAAAGUACAUUUAAAACACCAGGUGAUUUACGUUAGCUACAGUGUGAUGGGUUGGGGUAAUAAAGACAUAAGGUUUUUGUAAGUAUAUUGAAGCUGUUAGAGAAUAAAGCUUGGUUAUAAUAUGAUCCAGUCGGUUCUGUUAUGCCUUCUUACACAGUAUUUGUAAGUGAAUUAGCAAAAUGGUUUGUGAAGAUUCCUCUUGAGCAUUUGUUCACUCUUGUUAAAGUGAUACCGAGAGGUCUCCUUGUAAUUUUUAAUCAUUCCCUAGCCCUCCAGUUGAAGAUAUCAGAUUUAUUUAUUGUAACUGAUAAUAAUGACGAGAAAAAUGAACUCUGAACCAGGGUUUGAUUAAAAAAAAAAGUGUUCAAAUCUGGAAAACUCUAGAUUACAAUAAGUCUAGAAAGACUAUACUAAAAAUUGCGAAGAAAAUUUAAUUUUAGUAACAUAGAAUAAUUUGGGUUGGAAGGGACCUCUGAAGCUCAUAUGGUACAACCCCCUGCUCAGAGCUGGACCAGGUUUUAUGCCGGGUUGUACAUUCAGUCUCCACAGUACCUUGUUCAACUGAGUUUGAAUAUCUAAAAAAAACUGAGAUUUUUUUUAUGUAUUCACUUGUGCAAAUAAUUUGCGAAGAAACAAUUUACUCCUGGUGUUUCAAAUAAGGGUUGUCUGACAGUGUAGGAAUUUUGUUUUCAAUUGCAAAAUUUUGUUUACCUUUAAAAUUCCUUGACACAGCUGAAGAACAAAAAGAAAUAAAAAAAAAAUCAUUUGUAAUCCUGAAGAAAUAAAAGCAUAGAAAAAGUCAAAUCUCAUCAUUAUUUGUAAGACAAAAUUGAGGUUAUGAUGACACUCUUAACUGUGAAAAAUGGAUUUCUAAGUAUGAAUUUAGA